GACGAACGCUGGCGGCGUGCUUAACACAUGCAAGUCGAACGAAGUGGCGAACGGGUGAGUAAUGCGUAAUCAACCUGCCCUUCAGAGGGGGACAACAGUUGGAAACGACUGCUAAUACCGCAUACUGAAGGAGGGGAUUGCGUCUGAUUAGCUAGUCGGAGGGGUAACGGCCCACCAAGGCGAUGAUCAGUCUGCGGUCUGAUGGGAGGAACGGCCAAAUUGGGACUUGGACACGGCCCAGACUCCUAAGGGAGGCAGCAGUGGGGAAUCUUCCGCGAUGGAGGGAAGUCUUACGGAGCAACGCCGCGUGAGUGAUGACGGCCUUCGGGUUGUAAAGCUCUGUUAAUCGGGACGCGGUACCGGAAUAGAAAGCCACGGCUAACUACGUGCCAGCAGCCGCGGUAAUUC
rnacentral:rRNA from 1 species